AAGACCUUGCACUUUUGGAGCGGCCGAUGUCUGAUUAGCUAGUUGGUAGGGUAAUGGCCUACCAAAGCUUCGAUCAGUAGCUGGUCUGAGAGGACGGCCAGCCACACUGGGACUGAGACACGGCCCAGACUCCUACGGGAGGCAGCAGUGGGGAAUUUUGGACAAUGGGCGCAAGCCUGAUCCAGCCAUGCCGCGUGAGUGAAGAAGGCCUUCGGGUUGUAAAGCUCUUUCAGUCGGGAAGAAAAGGUUGCGACUAAUAAUCGCAAUUCAUGACGGUACCGAAAGAAGAAGCACCGGCUAACUACGUGCCAGCAGCCGCGGUAAUACGUAGGGUGCGAGCGUUAAUCGGAAUUACUGGGCGUAAAGGGUGCGCAGGCGGUUUUGUAAGUCAGAUGUGAAAUCCCCGGGCUUAACCUGGGAACU
rnacentral:rRNA from 1 species